GGGGUGGGAGAGUUACUAUCUGUAAUCCUGUAUUCAUUGUGCAAGAGAGUCGUUAGGGAUGUCAAUCUCACAGAAGGAUCUCAAAGUUGAGACGUGGGAAAGAGGGCUGAUUUGUGGAGGAGUGGGUGGUUGUGUAUACUAAUCAGGGAAUAUUAUAACCGGCGGUGAUAUUGUUUUGGUUGCGUAAUUACUAGGCCUAUCAUGGGUUUGUGUGGUAUAAUUAGUAGCUUUUCAAUUGGGCCAGAGUUUGAUGAAACUGUUGUGGUGGAUUCGAGAGUAGUACCAAUCAUUCGACUCAAAAAAAACUAAGAUCAACUCUAUUCAAGAAUUCAGUU
rnacentral:lncRNA from 1 species